UAAUAAAUUUAGUAUCUAUGUAAGAGAAUUCCUCUGUGCUAUAAAGCCUAGAUGUACAAGGUACACUUUUACAUCUACAAAGACAAGUUUGUAUACAAAGAAGGCGAGAAUAUGAAGACAAUCUUGAGCUACUUCGUUUUCUUUUUAGUCAUACUACAAAUUUCCCAUCGUUUGGUAGCUGGUCAGAAUUAUGAAUUUCAAUCAGGGAUAAAUCAUGGAUUUGUGAACUCAAGAAAGAAUCUUU